rnacentral:tRNA from 2 species
AUCAAGUUAGUUUAAAUAAAAUUCUGGGUUGUGGUCCUAGGGAUGGAAGUUAGAGUUUCCACUUGAUA